rnacentral:rRNA from 1 species
UAUAAGCAAUUAUACGGCGAAACUGCGAAUGGCUCAUUAUAUAAGUUAUCGUUUAUUUGAUAGCACUUUACUACUUGGAUAACCGUGGUAAUUCUAGAGCUAAUACAUGCUAAAAAUCCCGACUUCGGAAGGGAUGUAUUUAUUAGAUUAAAAGCCAAUGCCCUCUGGGCUCUCUGGUGAAUCAUGAUAACUGCUCGAAUCGCAGGGCCUCGUGCCGGCGAUGGUUCAUUCAAAUUUCUUCCCUAUCAACUUUCGAUGUUUGGGUAUUGGCCAAACAUGGUUACAACGGGUAACGGAGGGUUAGGGCUCGACCCCGGAGAAGGAGCCUGAGAAACGGCUACUACAUCCAAGGAAGGCAGCAGGCGCGCAAAUUACCCAAUCCCGACACGGGGAGGUAGUGACAAUAAAUACUGAUACAGGGCUCUUUCGGGUCUUGUAAUUGGAAUGAGUACAAUUUAAAUCCCUUAACAAGGAACAAUUGGAGGGCAAGUCUGGUGCCAGCAGCCGCGGUAAUUCCAGCUCCAAUAGCGUAUAUUAAAGUUGUUGUGGUUAAAAAGCUCGUAGUUGACCCUUGGGCCUGGCUGGCCGGUCCGCCUCACCGCGUGUACUGGUCCGGCCGGGCCUUUCCCUCUGUGGAACCCCAUGCCCUUCACUGGGCGUGGCGGGGAAACAGGACUUUUACUUUGAAAAAAUUAGAGUGCUCCAGGCAGGCCUAUGCUCGAAUACAUUAGCAUGGAAUAAUAGAAUAGGACGUGCGGUUCUAUUUUGUUGGUUUCUAGGACCGCCGUAAUGAUUAAUAGGGACAGUCGGGGGCAUCAGUAUUCAAUUGUCAGAGGUGAAAUUCUUGGAUCUAUUGAAGACUAACUACUGCGAAAGCAUUUGCCAAGGAUGUUUUCAUUAAUCAAGAACGAAAGUUAGGGGAUCGAAGACGAUCAGAUACCGUCGUAGUCCUGACCGUAAACUAUGCCGACUAGGGAUCGGACGAUGUUAUUUUUUGACUCGUUCGGCACCUUACGAGAAAUCAAAGUG